GAUGAACGCUGGCGGCGUGCUUAACACAUGCAAGUCGAGCGAAGCACUUGCCAUUGACUCUUCGGAAGAUUUGGCAUUUUGACUGAGCGGGCGUACGGGUCGAAGGUAACGCGUAGGGUUAACCGUGCCUCAUACAGGGGAAUAACAGUUAGAAAUGGCUGCUAAUGCCGCAUAAGCGCACAGGACCGCAUGGUCUGGUGUGAAAAACUGAGGUGGUAUGAGAUGGGCCCGCGUCUGAUUAGGUAGUUGGCGGGGUAACGGCCCACCAAGCCGACGAUCAGUAGCCGGACUGAGAGGGUGAACGGCCACAUUGGGACUGAGACACGGCCCAG
rnacentral:rRNA from 1 species